GGGCACUUGGAGCCGAGCGGUAAGGCGCCUGAUUGUCUAUCAGGAACAGGCGGGUUCGAAUCCCGUAGUGCCCGCCC
rnacentral:tRNA from 1 species